rnacentral:rRNA from 1 species
UACAGAGGUCUCAAGCGUUGUUCGGAUUCAUUGGGCGUAAAGGGUGCGUAGGUGGCGCGGUAAGUCGGGUGUGAAAUCUCGGAGCUUAACUCCGAAAUUGCAUUCGAUACUGCCGUGCUCGAGGACUGGAGAGGAGACUGGAAUUCAUGGUGUAGCAGUGAAAUGCGUAGAGAUCAUGAGGAAGACCAGUGGCGAAAGGCGGGUCUCUGGACAGUUCCUGACACUGAGCACGAAGGCCAGGGGAGCAAACGGG